rnacentral:rRNA from 1 species
GCUGAGGUUAAGCCCUUGUUCUAAAGAUUUGU